UAAACUACGAUUAGAUACCCUAUUAUUUUAAAUGUAAACUGUUUUAACUUGGGUAGUAAUAGUUAUGUUCUUGAAACUCAAAGAAUUUGGCGGUGUUUUAGUCCUUUCAGAGGAACCUGUCCCUUAAUCGAUAGUCCACGUUAAACCUUACUUAAUCUUGUUUCAGCUUGUAUACCGCCGUCGUCAGAAUGUCCUUAGAGGGUUUAAAUUUUCUUUAAUUUUUAUUAUAAAUGAUGUCAGGUCAAGGUGCAGCUUAUGGUUAAGUGGAGAUGGGUUACAAUAAAUAUAUUUAUAACGGAUUAUAAGUUGAAUGACUUAUUUGAAGGUGGAUUUGAUUGUAAUUUAUUAAAUUAAAGUAUUUUGAUUUUGGCUCUAAAACAUGCACACAUCGCCCGUCGCUCUUA
rnacentral:rRNA from 1 species